CUUUGACAGCUGCUCCACCUACAUGCAGAUGGGAGAGGAGGUUGCUCCCUUAUGAUUCUUUUGAACGUCAAUCCUAUAACCUUAAAACCAUCACUACAGCACUGGACAUUUAAUUUUGAGACUUGGGAGUGUCUGUCUCUGAAGCUCCUCCAAGGCCUCAGCAGAAAUAUGAAGAGGCAUUUCAGAGUUAAGAUGAAACCUAUUCUGAAAUUCAGUUUUAUGGAAGACACAAACCAAGGAAUACAGGCAAGAUUUGGACAUUUGAGUCAAGCAGAUUUGACACUGAUGGCUAGCCUUGGAAAAACUCUUCACUGAGGCUGGAGACCUGUCAUGAACUGCAGCCACAAAACAGCCCUUGCCAGCUGCCUGCUCCUUAUACCACAGCUUCUGGUCCCCAAAGCCCCCAGCUGAGCAGAUUGAGGAGUGAAUGAAGAAAGAAGAUGUGAGAUUAUACUAGAAGAAAAAUCACUUCAGAAAGUCUUGAGUUGAACUCUUCUGAAAACCAAGAGAAAGCAAGGCAGUUGAAUUCAACACUUUACUUUUCAUCAGCUCAGUGCAAAUGAAAACAAGUUUAAAUGUG
rnacentral:lncRNA from 1 species